CCUGUCUGAGGUGAAAGGUCGAGCCACUGGUAGAGACUUGUUAAAAAAAAAAGUCAGUGGUGAGAAAACGCAAAACAGAAGGACAAAUGUCAAAAACAGAAGUGCAGACAUGACUUAGUAUUGACUGGGACAUCGCUGCUUCCUAAAACAAACGGUUCAUUGUUGAGGAAUUUCCUGCCGGCUGCUGCCCAACGCCAGCUGAAGCGUGAUGCAGCCAGAGCAGAACAGAACAAGCUUUGCCCUGCAGAGUCGACAGGCAGAUUCAGCCCCCCGGGGCAUCCUGAGCACUGGCCUGCUGCGGGGUCUCACCCAGAGCAUCAGGCCUCCUUUCUUCUGCUUCCUGCUCCCCAGGGUCCAUGCAGCUGAUGUGGCUGCUGCCCAGCCUGCACAGAUGCUCUCCUCCUCCUCCACCAGCCCUGCUCCUGUACCCGCUCCGUCUCCCAGCAGCCUGCCAAGCAACAUUGGCAAGCCAGAAUUCCCAGACACGGGAUGGGAACGCAUCAAGGACCUCUUUGACAGAGACACAACGCGGAAAUACCCAGAGGAGUUGGUCAGUGUGAUAAACAGCGGUGUUCUUGGUGCCCUUGUAGGCCUUUUCUAUGGGGGCCUGCCAGCGGCUCGUCACGCCAGGCAGAGGUAUAUCCAAAUCAGCCAGGGAGAAAUGUACACGAAUCGUGUGGAAGCGGUGCGCUCAGCACAUAACGCAGCCAUCCGGGGUUUUGUGAGAUAUGGAUGGAGGUGGAGCUGGAGAGUUGCUGUCAUCGUCACCUUGUUCAAUUCUGUCAGCACAGGACUGUCUGUGUACCGAGACAAAGACGCCGUCAGCAACUAUGUUGUUGCUGGAGCUGUCACUGUCGGCCUGUACAGACUGAACCUGGGACUGAGAGGGCUGGUGGCAGGGACCAUCAUCGGAGCAGUCCUGGGGAUUCCUGUUGGUGGUUUGGUCAUCGGCUUGCAGUCUCUGACUGGAGAAACUGUCCGAGAAAGGAGGAGGAGAGAACACAGAGAACUCUAUGAACUCAAGCUCGCAGAAUGGACGGCCCGUCUGCAGCUGACAGAUGAGUUGAUUGAUAAUCUGAAUGUUAGCUCUCAGGCAGAGGAAACCAAUAAGGACAUGCAGAGGAUCCAGGAGCUGCUCAGUUUACCACAGAAUGAGGACGUGAGCAAGAACUGAAACAGCAGUUUAGAGAGGCUGCCGUACUGCCUGAUAUCUGUUGGGCGUUGAAGGUGAGACUUCAUGGAGAUGUGAGGAUAAAUCAAUCCUGUCUUUCCUGGGACUCUACACAUCUUCUGAAUGGAAACUGAUUCACAUGAGGAUUUCAAGACACUGCUGAACAUCACCUACUAGAGUCACUUUAGCCAGCCGCUCAUGAAGAUGUGAAAUGAGCUGCAGGAAUGUGACAUGUCUUCCAAGUGUCGUUUCCUAUAAGCAACUAGGUCAAACAUAGCCUUGGCCCCUGGUGUAAACAAGAUGUGACACAGCAACAGCUGGGGCCCAAGAUGCAGCUGUGGCUGCUGAUGUGCAGAUGGACAGUCAAUAGAUUGACCAGUUUGUGUUCAGGAGUGCCAGGAUUCCUCUGAGAUGAUAACUUCAGGUAACAUCACACACUCCAAAGCCGUUACAGAAACUAUUUUUGAUAAACCGCUACACGUUUUACAUUUCUGUGCUACCCCAGGCUGUCACUGAAAGUCUGCUAUAGAGUCUGAUUUUGCCUUUAACUUUUUGUGGCUGUGUCCCAGCAUUUUCGAGUUAUGAAAAUAGAUUUACGUUCUGGGCUAUUUGGAUUGGGGCAGGUUUCCCAUGCAAUGGUCUGAUUUCAGCUCUUUUUGUUUUUUGUUUUUGUUUCAAUGGCCGUUAAUUAGUUAAAUUGUCACUACCACCAGCUGGGCUGAAUGUGUACUGGUCGCAUCCCAACAUGACCAAUACAGCACUUAUGCAUUCAUACUGUGCAAUUUUUAAGCACCUUUUGAGAUGGAAGAACAGACGAGCAUUGGCAGCAAAUUCAGUUUGUAAAAAUUCUUGUAAUAUGUAAAAAUAUCUUUGUGUGUGUGGGGGGGGGGAUACUAUCUUCUGAAUUCUGUUGUCAUCUUGUGAAACGGCUUAUAGUGGGAGACUAUUGCAGAGCCCCUAAAAUGAAAUUGAAAAACAACAAGCUGGGAAUAAAUGUUUAUAUGGUCUCUUAGCUCCCUCUACUGAUGACUUUAUGUAACUGAAAUGUUUCCCUCAUUAAUUGACAGGUUUGUUGCUUGUAGAUGUGGCAGUUAAUUUUAAUAACUUUAUCUGACAUGAGAAUACACCUCUAACAGGCAUAAUACAGUAUUCAUAGCUACUCAGAGCUUAUGUUUCCAUGUUAUGUAUUGACUCUCACCUUUUCCAAGCAUUUUUGAAAAGGUUUUCAAAUGGCAAAUGAUUAACAAUUUAAAAAUCUUUUUUUUUUUAAUCAGUCGUAGAUUUUUAGUCGUGAACCAGUUUCACAGAGCUAUCGUGUGUUUUAUCGGUGAGGAAAGACGGCUAUGGCUUUGAACAAAAAUAGCAUCAGGAUUUGAGGACUUUGGACUCUUGGCACUGAUUUCAGCUUUUGCAACUACAUUUACUAGAGGUUUCAAAUUCCAGAAAUGCUGGGACAUCAUGCUGUAGUUUUGACAGCACACAUUUAGUACAUUAUGUUAACCAAGCCACUGUUAAUGACUCAUGUUUGUUCUUUAUCUAUCCAUGUUAUUUACAUCGGCUGUUUGUACUUUGCCAUGUUAUGUCUUACCAGUUUUCAAAUGAAAAGACUCAAAUUCUUCAUGUCAUUGUAUCAGUAGAAGGCUGAGCUAAAUCAAAGGCCUAUAAAAAGGUACUUGCUUCCCCUUGUGAGUUUUGCCCUUUCAUGGCUUUUCAACAUUCAGUUGUGGUCAAUGUAAUUUGGCUUUUUUGACAAGGAUUUAUUUUUUGAAUAUGGCUUUUUUGAGUAAUUCAAACUAUUAAAGUUAAAAUAGGUGAUUGCAUAAAGAUUUAUUCCUUUCAAGUCAGCAUUGAGUAGAUGUUCUUUUAGCCACAAUUACAGCUAUCUGCAGUGCACAUCUGGACACUGAAGUUUUAUCCUGUUCUUCUUUUCAACGUGUCAGAUUGCACAGAGAUUAUGAGUGAACAGCUCUUUUCAAGUCCAGCAACAAAUUCCUAAUUGGAUUGAGGACUGGACUCUGAAUGACCUCUCCAGAACAUUCACCUUGUUGUCUUUAUAUAUGUACUGGUCUCACUAAACGUUUGCGUGUUCAGCUAUCCAGUGCGUGUAAACAGCUGGCGAGGAGAACAACGAAAAGGAGGAAUGCCGACCCAUCUUCAUUUUCUCCUCUCCUUUUAUUCCACACACGUUGUGUAAAACAUGAAGCUGUAAAACUAGACAGAAAUAAAAACACAUUUUAGCUAA